rnacentral:rRNA from 1 species
UACCGACCUGCAUGAAUGGCGUAACGAGAUGGGAGCUGUCUCAACCAGGGAUCCAGUGAAAUUGUAGUGGAGGUGAAAAUUCCUCCUACCCGCGGAAAAGACGGAAAGACCCCCGUGCACCUUUUACUACAGCUUGACACUGUAGCUUGGAUAUUCAUGUGCAGGAUAGGUGGGAGGCUAUGAUGACUAGACGCAAGUAGAGUCGGAGCCAUCCUUGAGAUACCACCCUUGAAUAUUUGAGUUACUAACUGCGUACAAUUAUCUUGUAUCAGGACAAUGUCUGGUGGGUAGUUUGACUGGGGCGGUCGCCUCCUAAAAAGUAACGGAGGCUUACAAAGGUUAGUUCAUGGCGGAUGGAAAUCGCCAGUUGAGUAUAAUGGCAUAAACUAGCUUGACUGUGAGACAUACAAGUCGAACAGAGACGAAAGUCGGUCAUAGUGAUCCGGUGGUUCUGUGUGGAAGGGCCAUCGCUCAAAGGAUAAAAGGUACGCCGGG